GUCGCUGCCGUGAUCGUGGUC
rnacentral:siRNA from 1 species